CCACGCUACACCUGUCUAUGCAGUGCUCACACAGAUUGUCUGAUAGAAAGUGAAAAGCAAGGCGUCUUGCGAAGCAGACUGAUACGUCCCCUUCGUCUAGAGGCCCAGGACACCGCCCUUUCACGGCGGUAACAGGGGUUCGAAUCCCCUAGGGGACGCCACUUGCUGGUUUGUGAGUGAAAGUCACCUGCCUUAAUAUCUCAAAACUCAUCUUCGGGUGAUGUUUGAGAUAUUUGCUCUUUAAAAAUCUGGAUCAAGCUGAAAAUUGAAACACUGAACAACUAGAGUUGUUCGUGAGACUCUCAAAUUUUCGCAAUGCGAUGAUUACUCUCAUGAUACAUCUUAGGCACGUGCGACCAAGCGACUAAGCACUACACGGUGGAUGCCCAGGCUGCUUGAGUACAAUAAAAGAAAUUCUGAUCUUCCAUCAUCAAAGCUUCAUUUGAUACCACACCUGUCUGACAUCCGAUUUCAGCACUCUGAUUCACUCCUACCUACUACCUACUCUCAGGCGUGCAAUCCAUAUUCCUGCAUGAUGCCUUCCAUGGGUCCACGCAUAACACCAUAGUCGAGCGAAGCCUCUUCAUGAAUGCAUUGAAGAUUACCCCUAAACAUUAAUACGUACCAGCAACUAGAAUUAACACACCAUUCUAGUUAA
rnacentral:rRNA from 1 species